CGUUAGUCGAAAAUACUGAAUAAUUAAACAAACCAAAUGGCAUCACUGGUGGUUCUUUUUUCCACUCCGCUAAACUGUCAUCUCAAACAAAAACAAAUGGAUCAUACAACUGCUAUGAAUACAUUCGACUCGUUUGCUUCCAUCAAUCGGUAAGUGAGAAAGAUGAUUUCUCCCAUCAGUGCGGAUUUCCACUUCUAUCACAGCAGCCAACAACAUCCGUUUUCCUGCAGCAGUAACCUAUAACCCCUGUUGGCAAUGCCGGGGGACAGCAUCAACAGCAGCAGCAGCAGAAUUUGACCAUGGUAUGGUAUUGCGAAGAACUUUCCCCAUUAGAGGUUCCGUGCUUCGCGCACAUUCAAAAUCCUCUUCAGACACGAAAACUCAACGACAAGGAGGUAUUUAUCAACUUGCUCAGCUGAAUUACCACCCGGAGGAACCCGAAUGCACUGAUUCCGUUGUAUAGUAGAAUGAAAAUAGGCGAGGUAAGCGAACGUAAUCGCAUGAUAUUUUAAUAGUUCGCAUUUUUAUCCGGAUCAUACAACUGCUAUGAAUACAUCCGACUCAAUCAAUCGGCGAGUGAGAAAGAUGAUUUCCCUCAUCACCACAUUGCUUAUUUCCACUUCUGUCACGCCAGCCAACAGCAUCAGCUUUCCCGCAGCAGUAUCCUUUAAGUCCAGGGUGCUAUUCCGGGGAACAGCAUCAUCAGUAAAAGCAGCAGGACCUGGCCAUCGAUAGUAUUUCGAGCAAUUUUCAUCGGAGAUCCCGUGCUUCACGCACAUUGAAGAAACCUCCUCAGCCACAUAUGUGUGUCAAGGAGAAAAAGGAGCUGGAUUCGAAUCGUCAAUCCAGACAACCCGAAUGCACCGAUUGCAUUAUAUAUCUUGUUUAUAUUUUAUAUGCAUUUUGUGUUUUUUUGAAUAAAAUGAUUAAAAUCGA